ACGUGACGCGUCCGCGCGCCUGGGCGGUUGGAAGGCGGUUUUUUCCCUCGCGGUUCGGUCGAGUCUCAACGGCGACCGGGUCGACGCUGCGGUGGAAUGGAAAAGGGGAUGUGAGGAGUGGAAAACAACUAGAAAAUGUUAAUAAUUACAGAGAACUACGUUCCACUCCAAGGCAGCCACAAAGCAAGAAACCCGAAUAACCCAAUUAAAAAUAGACCAAAAACCACUGCUCAGAGAAAGAGAAGACGAAAAUACACAUUGUGCGAACAGAAGCAAGCCAACCGUACCCUGAACUAGACUGAGUCCCAUAUCCGCUCCCAGAGCAGCUGUAGUAGGCCUAAGCCUCAAGUCUCCAGUACAUCAUGCAACGGGGUUGGAAACACACAGCAGCUGGAUCAGUUCACAGCCUUGGCGCUGUGGAAGAAGGAAUAAAUAUUCGCAGAACGAACAAAAUCAGCCCGACCUUCGCCUCCCUACCCGACAAUUAGGCUUCCAAGUCUAUCUGAGCAGAAGUUUAAGUUGUCCAAGCACCGGGUAGUGCCAUGUUCUAGGGCCUAGAUCCUGGUGCCCUAAUACGCUUGAGCACCCCAGCCUGAAGCCAUUCUUGAUCUCACCAAAUCAGCUUGGUGCUUGGAGUGACCCAGCCUCGCACCUGGGUUAGGUGGAUGGACAGUGAAACUCUUCUACAUCAACUCCUUUUCAAGUUGCUCACUCCAUCUCCAACAGUGACAUGAACUCAGUCAACAACCCUAGCUCGGACAUGUUGCAUCUUGCAAUGCCACAGCACGGUUCAUUCCCCAAACCAGCCUUGCUUCCCGCCUGUCUCCUCACUGGCUGUGGCAGUAGGUUACAACAAUUUUCUUCAGAAAAGAUGUUAGAGUAAUGUUUUUAGUUUGCAGAUCUUGCCUUACGAUCUACUAGUAUGCUGUCAUAUGUCUUCGGUAGCAUACGUUCAUUGACCACUUUAUUAGCAAUUGUGCUUAUACCUAUAAUCUCAAACUCCCUUAUGCACCAUACUGAUCUAUUUAUACUACCAUUUUCACCUUCAUCUGCUUCAUAAAAAUUGGGAUUCUGGCCUUCUGUGUUCUUAGUGAGAUCAAAGGACUCCUUGUUCCAGUUUCCUGUUUUCACUGCCCUAUGUUCAGGAAGUGUCAAUAUUGCUGGAUGUGCAUGUUCGCCCAAGCGUGUAAUGCGCAAGGCACAUGAAGGAGGUGAUAUUCAGGCACCAUUUUCCUAAUUCAGGAAACCCUUGUAUUACCUCUGCAUCACACUUGUCCAUUUCUCUGCCUGCCUCUGCUUCCUUUCUGAGUUCCUUGUGGCUAUCCCCUUUUGUGUUCUUUCCUAUCCUUUGUUGCUUCCACCCCUGCCCCAUGACCUCUCCACCAUGAACUUUCUUUGCUUAAUCCCGAGCAUCUCGCCAACCAAUUCCAUUCUCCUAUUCAGCAGUGCCUUAGUCCGCAAGCCCUUUCUGGUGAACUUCAGGUAGGCCCACCAGCUGAAGAUGAUGGUAGCCUACUAGUCAACAGUCCGAGGGCCACCAGUGCAGUGAGUAGGCGGGGUUCCAUUGGUCCAAUGUGAGGCUGCCUGCCUGUUCUGAGAGGACAUGGCCACAGCUGUAAAUGAUACUCCAGAGUCAAGGUAAUACGAUAUUGCCCUCUGGCAGAGAAGGGCUCAGAUCUGGGGAUUGAGCUGUUUCUGGGUCAGCUUCUAUCUUGCAGAUAUCAGACCCUUGAAUAGUUCCGCAGUAUAAUUAGAUGGUCUCAUUACUUCAGAACUUGCCUCAUUAUGAUCUUGCACGUGACUACAAGAAAAUGUAGAGUGUUAAUGAGGACAGCUUACAACAUCACAGAAAAUCAGCCUCCCUCUCAUGGAGUCUGUCUACAAUUGUCACAGCCUCAGUUUAGCAGCCAUCAUAAUCAAAUCCUCCCCCCCCCCCCCCCCGUGACCUCUCCACCACAAACUUUCUUUGCUUAAUCCCUAGCAUCUCACCAACCAAUUUCAUUCUCCUAUUCAGCAGCGCCUUUCUCUCAUGUUUCUCUUCAUUCAGCUUUUACUCAUCUCUAGCACUAUCUCCCGUGCUUCCAGUUUUCAGCCACUGGGUUUAGGUUUGGUCCAGCCUCUGGAAGGAAAUGUCAGACAGCCAUCUCAAGGCUGGGCCAUCCAAAUGCCAGAUCAAGGUUUUACUUUCCUGUUCCUUUAUCACCUGGUUCCAUAUUCCCAACUUAUGAAAUUUGGCUCCCAGGCUCCAGAUCCAGAUUCCUUGCCCCUAGCAUUGAGUAACUUCCCUCAGAUCCAGUGUAGCUUCAUCAGGUGCAGGUUCCCUACUUCCUGAUCUGAUUCCCUUUGCCCUGGGUCCAAUCUGUAGAUUCACCACCCUCAUUUUCUCCAUCAUGUAGUCCAAAGCAUGCCAUCCAGAUUCCUUGCUUGUAGCAUUGAGCAACUUCCUUCAGAUCCAGUGUAGCUUCAUCAGGUGCAGGUUCCCUACUUCCUGAUCUGAUUCCCUUUGCCCUGGGUCCAAUCUAUAGAUUCACCACCCUCAUUUUCUCCAUCAUGUAGUCCAAAGCAUGCCAUCCAGAUUCCUUGCUCAUAGCAUUGAGCAACUUCCCUCAGAUCCAGUGUAGCUUCAUCAGGUGCAGGUUCCCUACUUCCUGAUCUGAUUCUCUUUGCCCUGGGUCCAAUCUGUAGAUUCACCACCCUCAUUUUCUCCAUCAUGUAGUCCAAAGCAUGCAGUCCAAAUUCCUUGCUCAUAGCAUUGAGCAACUUCCCUCAGAUCCAGUGUAGCUUCAUCAGGUGCAGGUUCCCUACUCACUGAUCUGAUUCCCUUUGCCCUGGAUCCAAUCUGUAGAUUCACCACCCUCAUUUUCUCCAUCAUGUAGUCCAAAGCAUGCAGUCCAAAUUCCUUGCUCAUAGCAUUGAGCAACUUCCCUCAGAUCCAGUGUAGCUUCAUCAGGUGCAGGUUCCCUACUUCUUGAUCUGAUUCUCUUUGCCCUGGGUCCAAUCUGUAGAUUCACCACCCUCAUUUUCUCCAUCAUGUAGUCCAAAGCAUGCAGUCCAAAUUCCUUGCUCAUAGCAUUGAGCAACUUCCCUCAGAUCCAGUGUAGCUUCAUCAGGUGCAGGUUCCCUACUUCCUGAUCUGAUUCUCUUUGCCCUGGGUCCAAUCUGUAGAUUCACCACCCUCAUUUUCUCCAUCAUGUAGUCCAAAGCAUGCAGUCCAAAUUCCUUGCUCAUAGCAUUGAGCAACUUCCCUCAGAUCCAGUGUAGCUUCAUCAGGUGCAGGUUCCCUACUUCCUGAUCUGAUUCCCUUUGCCCUGGGUCCAAUCUAUAGAUUCACCACUGUCAUUCUCCACCAUGUAGUCCAAAGCAUGCAGUCCAGUCACCCAGCUUUGCUCAAUCAGUUUGGGCUGUGAUCUGCAAUCUUCUAGCUGGGCCAUACCGAUUUUGGGCUUGGUCGCCUUAGUCAGCCAGCCCUUUCUGGUAAACUUCAGGUAGGCCCACCAGCUGAAGAUGAUGGUAGCCUACCAGUCAACAGUCCGAGGCCCACCAGUGUAGUGAGUAGGCGGGGUUCCAUUGGUCUAAUGUGAGGCUGCCUGCCUGUUCUGAGAGAACAUGGCCACAGCUGUAAAUGAUACACCGGAGACAAGGUAAUACGAUAUUGCCCUCUGGCAGAGAAGGGCUCAGAUCUGAGGAGUGGGCUGUUUCUGGGUCAGCUUCUAUCUUGCAGAUAUUGGACCCUUGAACAGUUCCGCAAUAUAAUUAGAAUGUCUCAACUUCAGAACUUGCCUCAUUAUGAUCUUGCACAUGACUACAAGAAAAUGUAGUGUUAUGAGGACAGCUUACAACAUCACAGGGAAUCAGCCUCCCUCUCAUGGAGUCUAUCUACAAUUGUCACAGCCUCAGUUUAGCAGCCAUCAUAAUCAAAUGCACCCCCCAUCCCACCACCCCCCGGCCUCCACUUUUUUCCUGGUCCCCUCCCCCAUCGGGUACAAUAUAGCAAAACCUGAAAGCAUUACCACCAGGCUCAAGUACAGUUUAUCCCAUUUUUCUUUGGCAAUAGGACAGAUACACAAGGGAGAAUUAAAUUCUUUGAAGUAAAUUUAUAAUCAAUGUAUAUAUACUGUAUGUCACCUUAAGGAACCCUGAUUAAUUUUUUUGUUGGCCUACUCAAUAAAUCCAGUAACUAUUAUUGAAUCAAUGAAGGUCUGCACCAACAGGGUGGACAGGAAACUGCAAAAUACAAAAGGGAAGAAAAAGGAGAAAUAAUUACAAGUACUGAGAAUAUAAGAUGUUGUGUCCUUGAAAAUGCAUUCAUAGUGAUGUACUGUACUGUACUGCUGAAGAACAAUAAAUUGCAUGAAGUAGGUCAGUGGAAAUUAA